rnacentral:rRNA from 1 species
GACAGAGGGUGCAAACGUUGUUCGGAAUUACUGGGCGUAAAGCGCGUGUAGGCUGCUUCGCAAGUCGGAUGUGAAAGCCCUGGGCUCAACCCAGGAAGUGCAUUCGAAACUGCAGAGCUGGAGUCCUGGAGAGGAAGGCGGAAUUCUCGGUGUAGAGGUGAAAUUCGUAGAUAUCAAGCGGAACACCGAUGGCGAAGGCAGCCAUCUGGACCGACACUGACGCUGAGGCGCGAAAGCGUGGGGAGCAAACAGG